rnacentral:rRNA from 1 species
UACGUAGGGUGCAAGCGUUAAUCGGAAUUACUGGGCGUAAAGCGUGCGCAGGCGGUUUUGUAAGUCUGACGUGAAAUCCCCGGGCUCAACCUGGGAAUUGCGUUGGAGACUGCAAGGCUAGAAUCUGGCAGAGGGGGGUAGAAUUCCACGUGUAGCAGUGAAAUGCGUAGAGAUGUGGAGGAAUACCGAUGGCGAAGGCAGCCUCCUGGGCCAACACUGACGCUCAUGCACGAAAGCGUGGGGAGCAAACAGG